rnacentral:snoRNA from 1 species
GGCCUCUUUCCACAUGCACGUGGCCCAGCUGCUCAGGCACCCAGAGGUGAAUGUGGUCACAAUGACAUGGAUUGUGCUUCCAUCACAGCAGGCUCACUGCCAUGGCGACAAUGGGACCAGUGACACAU